ACGAACGCUGGCGGCAUGCCUAAUACAUGCAAGUCGAGCGGACUUGAAGAGAAGCUUGCUUCUCGGAUGGUUAGCGGCGGACGGGUGAGUAACACGUAGGCAACCUGCCCUCAAGUUUGGGACAACUACCGGAAACGGUAGCUAAUACCGAAUAGUUGUUUUCUUCUCCUGAAGAGAACUGGAAAGACGGAGCAAUCUGUCACUUGGGGAUGGGCCUGCGGCGCAUUAGCUAGUUGGUGGGGUAACGGCUCACCAAGGCGACGAUGCGUAGCCG
rnacentral:rRNA from 2 species